GAUGAACGCUGGCGGCGUGCCUAAUACAUGCAAGUCGAGCGAACAGACGAGGAGCUUGCUCCUCUGACGUUAGCGGCGGACGGGUGAGUAACACGUGGAUAACCUACCUAUAAGACUGGGAUAACUUCGGGAAACCGGAGCUAAUACCGGAUAAUAUAUUGAACCGCAUGGUUCAAUAGUGAAAGACGGUUUUGCUGUCACUUAUAGAUGGAUCCGCGCCGCAUUAGCUAGUUGGUAAGGUAACGGCUUACCAAGGCGAUGAUGCGUAGCCGACCUGAGAGGGUGAUCGGCCACACUGGAACUGAGACACGGUCCAGACUCUUACGGGAGGCAGCAGUAGGGAAUCUUCCGCAAUGGGCGAAAGCCUGACGGAGCAACGCCGCGUGAGUGAUGAAGGUCUUCGGAUCGUAAAACUCUGUUAUUAGGGAAGAACAAAUGUGUAAGUAACUAUGCACGUCUUGACGGUACCUAAUCAGAAAGCCACGGCUAACUACGUG
rnacentral:rRNA from 1 species